AUGGAUCAAGUGGAAAGGGUCACCUGGUCUCCUAUUAUGAUUGAAAAUCUGGUGGAAGAAAUAGGUUAUGAGAUGGUAGGGAGGGUUAAGGUUUUCUACUGUGUCCCCAUCCUCACACUUAGCACAAAUGGUCUCAGGGCAAUUACUGAUGAUGAACAGGCUACCAGAAUGCUAAUGUUUCUUGAUAUUGGUCACCACUUUCUCAAUCUCUAUUUGGAUCAUGAUGAUAGCUUCUGUGCAAACCUUAGUGAGGAUGAUGUUCUGAAUCAUCCAAGAGCUAGUCUGCCUCCAGUUUUCAGCCCAACAAGAAGAGUUCAUAGCAAUGCAGAGAAUGCAGAGACAGAGCAUGGAGAAGCUGAGGCAGAAGGAGAGCAUGGAGAAGCUGAGGCAGAAGCAGAUCAUGGAGAAGAUGAGGCAGGAGCAGAGCAUGGAAAAGGGAAGAAAGCAGAGACAAAUGUGCCACCUAUUCCUAUCCAAGUUGUGUAUCCUGAUUGUGAUGAGGAGGAGGAUGUCAACCAGUUUGAGUUUGUCAAGAGGGCAUCAGUUCAUACAAAGGAUGGUAAUCAAAGACAUGAAGAACAGGCAGAGCUAGAAGGUGUCGCAAUUGAAGAAGAUGAUGGAGCAAGUGAUAGUGAUGAUGAAGAUUAUGAACCUGAUAUGCUUGUGGACAGUGACAAUGAGAUAGGAGAUGGUGAUGAUGAUUUUAUGCAGAUAAUGUAG
rnacentral:rRNA from 1 species